UUCUCAUAGAUGGUCUCCUCUUCCAGGGC
rnacentral:piRNA from 2 species